rnacentral:rRNA from 1 species
CAGUGCGCAUCUAUCAUGCAGUCGAGCGGACCGAACGGAAGCUUGCUUCUGUUCGGUUAGCGGCGGACGGGUGAGUAACACGUGGGUAACCUGCCCGUAAGACCGGGAUAACUCCGGGAAACCGGGGCUAAUACCGGAUAACACCGAAGACCGCAUGGUCUUUGGUUGAAAGGUGGCUUUUGCUACCACUUACGGAUGGGCCCGCGGCGCAUUAGCUAGUUGGUGAGGUAACGGCUCACCAAGGCGACGAUGCGUAGCCGGCCUGAGAGGGUGACCGGCCACACUGGGACUGAGACACGGCCCAGACUCCUACGGGAGGCAGCAGUAGGGAAUCUUCCGCAAUGGACGAAAGUCUGACGGAGCGACGCCGCGUGAGCGAAGAAGGUCUUCGGAUCGUAAAGCUCUGUUGUUAGGGAAGAAGAAGUACCGUUCGAAUAGGGCGGUACGGUGACGGUACCUAACGAGAAAGCCCCGGCUAACUACGUGCCAGCAGCCGCGGUAAUACGUAGGGGGCGAGCGUUGUCCGGAAUUAUUGGGCGUAAAGCGCGCGCAGGCGGUCCCUUAAGUCUGAUGUGAAAGCCCACGGCUCAUCCGUGGAGGGUCAUUUGGAAACUGGGGUGACUUGAGUGCAGAAGAGGAGAGCGUAAUUUCCACGUAUAGCCGUA